ensembl:miRNA
AGACUGAAGCACGGGUGAGUCAGGCAGGCAGUGCAUUGCUAGCUGGCUGUUGGACUUUCAAUCCGACAGUUGCUAGCUGCACUACCCUCUGCUACACUCAGAAGCAUGC